GGUUAAGCGACUAAGCGUACACGGUGGAUGCCCUGGCAGUCAGAGGCGAUGAAGGACGUGCUAAUCUGCGAUAAGCGUCGGUAAGGUGAUAUGAACCGUUAUAACCGGCGAUUUCCGAAUGGGGAAACCCAGUGUGAUUCGUCACACUAUCAUUAACUGAAUCCAUAGGUUAAUGAGGCGAACCGGGGGAACUGAAACAUCUAAGUACCCCGAGGAAAA
rnacentral:rRNA from 1 species